GUGAGGAAUCUUCCACAAUGGGCGAAAGCCUGAUGGAGCAACGCCGCGUGAAGGAUGAAGGUCUUCGGAUUGUAAACUUCUUUUAUGAGUGAAGAAUAUGACGGUAACUCAUGAAUAAGCACCGGCUAACUACGUGCCAGCAGCCGCGGUCAUACGUAGGGUGCAAGCAUUAUCCGGAGUGACUGGGCGUAAAGAGUUGCGUAGGCGGUUAUGUAAGCGAAUAGUGAAACCUGGUGGCUCAACCACACAGACUAUUAUUCGAACUGCAUAACUCGAGAAUGGUAGAGGUAACUGGAAUUUCUUGUGUAGGAGUGAAAUCCGUAGAUAUAAGAAGGAACACCAAUGGCGUAGGCAGGUUACUGGGCCAUUUCUGACGCUAAGGCACGAAAGCGUGGGGAGCGAACCGGAUUAGAAACCCGGUAGUCC
rnacentral:rRNA from 1 species